rnacentral:rRNA from 1 species
CUAAGGAAUUAGGCAAAUUAAGUCCGUAACUUAGGGAAAAGGACUGCCACUGGUUGUGAGGGCGACUAGCUUGUCUGAGCGAUUGGUGGUCGCAGCGAAAUGGCUCUGCCGACUGUUUAACAAAAACACAGGUCUCUGCGAAAGCGAAAGCUGACGUGUAGGGGCUGACGCCUGCCCAGUGCCGGAAGGUUAAGGGGAGAGGUGAUGAGCUUUGAACCGAAGCCCCGGUGAACGGCGGCCGUAACUAUAACGGUCCUAAGGUAGCGAAAUUCCUUGUCGGGUAAGUUCCGACCCGCACGAAAGGCGUAACGAGCAGAGCACUGUCUCAACAAGGGACCCGGCGAAGUUGAAAUAGCGGUGAAGAUGCCGUUUACCCGCAGCAGGACAAAAAGACCCCGUGGAGCUUUACUGUAGCCUGACAUUGAGUUAGGGCUUUGUCUGUGUAGGAUAGGUGGGGGGCUAAGAAGCUGGUCCGCUAGGAUCGGUGGAGUCGACGUUGAAAUACCACCCUGAUGGAGUCUUGGCUCUAACCUGUGGCCCUGAUCGGGCAUGGGGACAGUGUCUGGUAGGCAGUUUGACUGGGGCGGUCGCCUCCUAAAGAGUAACGGAGGCGCCCAAAGGUUCCCUCAGGCUGAAUGGAAACCAGCCGUAGAGCGUAAAGGCAUAAGGGAGCUUGACUGCGAGACAAACAAGUCGAGCAGAGACGAAAGUCGGGCUUAGUGAUCCUACGGUUCCGAGUGGAAGGGCCGUGGCUUAACGGACAAAAGCUACCCCGGGGAUAACAGGCUGAUCUCCUCCAAGAGUUCACAUCGACGAGGAGGUUUGGCACCUCGAUGUCGGCUCGUCGCAUCCUGGGGCUGAAGUAGGUCCCAAGGGUCCGGCUGUUCGCCGGUUAAAGCGGUACGCGAGCUGGGUUCAGACCGUCGUGAGACAGGUCGGUCUCUAUCCGCUGUGGGCGAAGGGGAUUUGAUAGGGGCUGCCCCUAGUACGAGAGGACCGGGGUGGACAGACCGCUGGUGUACCAGUUGUCUCGCCAGAGGCAUUGCUGGGUAGCUAAGUCUGGCAGCGAUAACCGCUGAAAGCAUCUAAGUGGGAAACGCGCCUCAAGAUGAGAUCCCCCACUGUAAAAGGGUAAGUGCACCGGGAGACUACCGGUUAGAUAGGCGGCAGGUGUACGCACUGUGAGGUGUUGAGCCGAACCGUACUAAUGCACGAGGACUUAAUCCA